AGGAUGACUAAGAAAGCAAGCCCAUUAACACGUUAGGCUCAUGAAGCAAGUAAUCAUGUAAACGAAUCACUAUUCUAAUAGUCUCAGCAAGAUGAACUCAGGGUCCUCAUUUAAAGCACAUGGAACCCUGAAUAUAUCCUGCCAGUCCUUUCUGGCCUGGUUUAUGUAUACAAUGGAAUAUUCCUCAGCUAUUAGAAAUGACAAAUACCCACCAUUUGCUUCAACGUGGAUGGAACUGGAGGGUAUUAUGCUGAGUGAAGUACAUCAUUAAAAAAACAACCAAGAAGAGGACCAGAAGACCAUGGGAGAGGCUGACCCCAAUGUGGGAGGAAGGGAGAUGAGCAAAACACCAACUUGGAGCUUCAGGGUUGGUCUGAAGCUAAAACAGCUGCACACAACUCUGUGGUCACCAUCAUCUGCAUACUCUAGGGAAGAUAACACCAGGAAUGGAUGCUCAGCUUCCCAUCUCAGAGCUUUCUUUUAGGCUCAAUCACCUUCUGACCCCACAAAUGAAACGAUCUACUUCCAUGUACUGAGUAACACAGAUGAUGAACAUGUUACUCUCACCUUGUUUUGAAAGUUGCCUUUUCAUGGAGAGCAAUAAAUCUUACCAGAAAAUACUAAAUGCUCCUGAGCUGAAUCACAACAAUUCUGUCUAGACUGAAAUGUCUCAUCUCCAUUUUGUCAAACAAAUUGUGUCUUGCCCAUUACUGUUCACCUUAUAAUCCAUAUGGGCUUUACACAGUUCUAUCAACAACAGA